UGAUCCUCCUACAGAUACAUACAUUGUCAGGUCAUUCAUCCCUACUGAUCACCCUACAGAUACAUACAUUGUCAGGUCAUUCAUCCCUACUGAUCACCCUACAGAUACAUACAUUGUCAGGUCAUUCAUCCCUACUGAUCACCCUACAGAUACAUACAUUGUCAGGUCAUUUAUCCCUACUGAUCACCCUAC